CCAAUAGCGUAUAUUAAAGUUGUUGCAGUUAAAAAGCUCGUAGUUGAAUUUCGGGACCAAUCUGCCGGUCGUGCCUCCGGUACGCACUGGUUUUAUUGGUUUCUCCCUUCUGACGAACCAUGAUGUCAUUAAUUUGGUGUCAUGGGGAAUCAGGACUGUUACUUUGAAAAAAUUAGAGUGUUUAUAGCAGGCUCACGCUUGAAUACAUUAGCAUGGAAUAAUGAAAUAGGACGUUUGACCCUAUUUUGUUGGUUUCUAGGAUCGACGUAAUGAUUAAUAGGGAUAGUUGGGGGCAUUAGUAUUCAAUUGUCAGAGGUGAAAUUCUUGGAUUUAUUGAAGACUAACUACUGCGAAAGCAUUUGCCAAGGAUGUUUUCAUUAAUCAAGAACGAAAGUUAGGGGAUCGAAGACGAUCAGAUACCGUCGUAGUCUUAACCAUAAACUAUGCCGACUAGGGAUCGGAUGAUGUUGAUUUUUUAAUGACUCAUUCGGCGCCUUACG
rnacentral:misc_RNA from 1 species